rnacentral:rRNA from 1 species
CCUUGACAUGCAGAGAACUUCAGAGAUGGAUUCGGUGACCUUCGGGAACUCUGACACAGGUGCUGCGAUGGCUGUCGUCAGCUCGUGUCGUGAGAUGUUCGGGUUAAGUCCCGUAACGAGCGCCAACCCUUGUCCUUAGUUACCAGCACGUUAUGGUGGGCACUCUAAGGAGACUGCCGGUGACAAACCGGAGGAAGGUGGGGAUGACGUCAAGUCAUCAUGGGCCCUUACGGCCUGGGCUACACACGUGCUACAAUGGUCGGUACAAAGGGUUGCCAAGCCGCGAGGUGGACGCUAAUCCCAUAAAACCGAUCGUAGUCCGGAUCGCAGUCUGCAACUCGACUGCGUGAAGUCGGAAUCGCUAGUAAUCGUGAAUCAGAAUGUCACGGUGAAUACGUUCCCGGGCCUU